GUGCUCACCUCUGCAGCACAUAUACCAAAAAUGGAGUUACACAGACAAGACUAGCAUUGUGCCUGUGCAAAGAUGACACACAAAUUGGCCAAGUGUUUCAUAUUUUA
ensembl:snRNA U6 U6 spliceosomal RNA